GGAGACGUAUCGAAGUGGUUGUAACGAGCCGCACUCGAAAUGCGGUUGUCGGGUAACCGGCACGUGGGUUCGAAUCCCACCGUCUCCGCUA
rnacentral:tRNA from 3 species